ACAUUUUGCCAUCUAUGUUAGCUUCCUGUGGCCGCUGUAACACAGUACCACAAACUUGGUGGCUUAAAACUGUAGAAAUGUAUUCUCUCACAGUUCUGGAGGCCAGAAGUUUCAAAUCAAAGUGUCAGCGUGGCUGUGCUUCCUCUGGAGGCCCUAGCGGAGAAUUCAUUCCUUGCCUCUUCCAGCUUCUGGUUGCUGCUGGCAUUCCUUUGCUUGGGGCUGCAUCACUCCAAUCCCUGCCUCUGUCUUCACCUCACCUUUCCUGUGUGUUUUCUCCUCUUCUGUCUGUGUCAAAACUCCUUCCAGCUCUCAUGAAGAUACAUAUGAUUGCACGUAGGGUCUACGUAGAUAAUCCGGGAUUAAGCUCCUCCUGUCAAGAUCCUUAACUUAAUCACAUCUUUUGCCAUGAAAGGUAAUAUUCAUGGGUUCCGGAAAUUAGGAAAUGGACAUAUCUUUGGUGCCACCGUUUGGCCCACCACUCCAUCUGAGAACCUAGACUCAUAAAAUCAUCCACCAUCUCUCAUUCAUUAUAUAACUUAGUGGUUAUAGAAGCAAAAGCUCUGGAGUCUAACUCCUGGGUUCCCGUCCUAGCUCUGUCAUUGGCUGUGGGACCUUGGGCAAAUUCCUUAGUCUCUCAGCACCUCAGUUUUCUUGCCUGAAAAACUGAGGAUAGUAUCUCCCUUGUAGGAUUGUAAUAAGGAUUAAACAAAAUGCUCUGUAAAAACACACAGUGUAGCACCUGGCACAUAGUAACCACUCAGUAAAUGUUAGCUACUAUUAGAGAUGAUGGUUUUAGGAUAUGUCUGCAACUUCUUUAAUAUUCCUUUCUUCAAGAGGUGAGGCUUAAUUCUCCUCCUCUUGAGUAUUGACUGGAUCUAGUGCCUCACUUCUAAUGAAUAGAAUAAAGCAGAAGUAACCACGUGUGACUUCAAGGACUAGGUCAUAAAAGACAAGGCAGCUUGGCCCUUGCUCUCUCUCUUUAGUCACUUGCUUUGGGGAAGCCAGCUUUCAUGUCAUAAGGACUCUGUGGCAAGGAACUGAGGUGUCCAGACAUCAGCCAGCAGCAGUAAGUGAAUUUGGAAGAGGCUCCUCCAGUCCCCGUCAAGCCUUCAGAUGACUGCAGCUCUGGUCAGUGCCUUGAUUGCAAUCUCAUGAGAGACUCUGAGUCAGACCACUCAGCUCAGUUACUCUUGGCUCUCUGACCUAUAGAAACUCUGAGAGAACAAAUGUGGUUUUAAGCCACUAAGCUUUAGGGUAAUUUGGCAUACAGCAACAGCUAACUAAUAAACUAGCUAUUAUUAUUUAAUCUUUAGACAUUAAUUAUCUAUUGCAUGCCAAGCAAGGGAGAUUAUAGGGUUGGCAGAGUAUCUGCCUUCAGAGAGCAUUCAGUCUUGUGGGGAUUGGAGGGGGUUGUGGAAUAUAAAACAAUGUUUACAGUGGACUGUGAGACAGUGCCUGUGUGGUCUGUAGCACAGACAAGGUACAAAAAUGCUUUAUUAUGACAACAUUCUGCAAAGGGAGCUGCUGAUCUGGUUGGGCCAGUCUAGAACACCAGAAUAUAGGCUGAAGUUCAGGUAGAGUCCAUCUCAGUCUGGGAGCCUGCAUAUAACAGUACCUGGAGGGACUUUAUGAAGGGAAAAAAACCUCAGUAAUUUAUUAAAAUCCCAUACUAGAUCUAAAUAUACACCUAUCCUAUGAUCCAGAAUUUCCACUCUUGAAUAUAAACCAAAGAGAAAUGUAGUUCACCAAAAGACAAGAUGAUUCAUAGCAGUGUUAUUCAUAAUAUCCCUAAACUGGAGGUGUCCUAGUGUCUAUAAACAAAUUACAAUAUAUUCACACAACGGAAUACCUCUCAGCAACGACAAAGAACAAACCACUGAUACAUGCAACAACGUGAAUGAAUCUCAGAAACAUUAUGCUGAACAAAAUAAGCCAGGAAUCUAUGAGCAUAUAUAGGAAUAUAUAAACGUAUACCAAGAUCAGGAUAUAGGACAUUUCCAGUACUUUACUGUAUGCAGUUAAUACCUUUUUUUUUUAUAAAUUUUAUUUAUUUAUUUUUGGCUGUGAUGGGUCUUCGUUGCUGCACGUGGGCUUUCUGUAGUUGCAGCGAGCGGGGGCUACUCUUCUUUGCGGUGCGUGGGCUUCUCAUUGCGGUGGCUUCUCUUAUUGCAGAGCAUGGGCUCUAGGUGUGCAGGCUUCAGUAGAUGUGGCUCACUGGCUUCAGUAGUUGUGGCUCGCGGGCUCUAGAUCACAGGCUCAGUAGUUGUGGUGCAUGGGCUUAGUUGCUCCACCGCAUGCGGGAUCUUCCCAGACCAGGGCUCGAACCCGUGUCCCCUGCAUGGCAGGCGGAUUCUUAACCACUGCACCACCAGGGAAGCCCGCAGUUAAUACCUUAAUUUAAAAUUUUCUUUAAGAUAAGUGGACUACUAAAAAAGAUUGAAGCAUAUUAUUAAGCACGAAUUACAUAUAUUUUAAUAUACUUAUUUAUGCAUGAGAGUGUGUACAGUAUACUGCAAAUCCAUGAGCUCUGACAUAAACAUCCAGCUCCUUGUCAGAAGAUCUCAUUGGCUUAGCUGUACAGCUAAGGCAGCAAUUCCUAACCGGUGUACACUGGAGUACCACAAAGGUAUAAGCUCAAUUUCAGCUACAGUAAUUCCGGAUGUGGUUGGAAGAUUGAGCUGGAGAGAUUAUGGGAUUGAGGGUAGCUGGAGUACAACUCACUGGGUGCGAGAAAUAGGAUUACACACAAGAGCUCUCCUUUGUGGGUAAGUAAGGGCAUACGGUUCUAUCAAACAAUGUCAUGAUGCCGAGAACCAGCAAGUAAAUGCUGUACACCUGGAGGUACAGUAUAAUCCCUCAGGCAUGCCUCUAGAAACCCUAGUAUUUGAGAGUGUGUCCUGGUCUCCAAAGAUCAACUUAACUAAGGAAGGUCCUCCUUUCAGGUCCGUUAUGGGUCUGUCUUGUUCCAAGUUCACACAUCUUCCUCUGGAUUCCUGUGCCACCUGCAAGAGGGUGAUAUUUUCUUGUCUCAUGGCCUUUAUUAAUAUUUAAAGAACAUCUUUAGGCUUGUCUUAUGACAUUACUCAGAGCUUGUGACAAGUGCAAGCCUUUGUUAGUUUAUUCCUAGAGAAGACUUCUAUUUCCUCUGUUCACUCUUCAAGAUUCCAGCACCCUGCCUCUGCCUCCAUCUGGGGAUGGCUUCCCUUCUCCUAAUAUGAGCCGCCUGCUCCAAAUCUCCCUGUUUUCUGCAGGGAUGUGACAAUUCUGAGAGUUAUAAUCUGCUUCCUUUGGUUGGAAGAAUAAUUUCCUGGUUGGAAUCCAAGCUGAAAAAGAAUUCUCCUUUGAACAGAAACAUUGGGAAGGUGAUAUCUUUUGUGCAGUGCUGGUGACCUUCCUGGCUGCCGAAGGUCAGCUGCUUUACCGUUUCUUGACUGAUGUCAUGUAGCCAACACUUGAUAAUUGAGGUGAACCCCAGGUAUAAUAGGUAUAAUAGUGGAACAAAGGAGGAGGUAUGGUCACUCCUGCCUGGGACAGGAAAGGUGAGGUGGUCAGGACUCUGGGUGCAUGUGAUAGAUAUUCUAAUCAACUUAGGCAAAUAGGGGGCAUUAAUUGGUUCCUGUGAGCAAACCCUGGGAUGGUUAGGAUAUGGUUUCAUGUAGGUUUGGCAGCUUCAUGAUUGCUGGUUGUUCUGGGCGUGUCUUCCCAGCUUCCUCAACGGAGAGGAGAGGGUUCUUUACUUCCAGCUCCAAUUUAAAAAUCCUAGGGAAGAAUACUGAAUGGCUUUUGUUGGGUCAUGUGCCUGACCUUUGGGCCAAUCACCAUAGCCCAGGAGAUGAGGUACUGUGGCUGGGGGAGGGAUUUUGAUUGAAGUGAGGAGGGACUAGUUCUUCAAGAGAAAGGAGGGUGAUGUUACCAGAAUAAGGGGAAAACAUGUACCAGGAAGACAAGAGUUUUUCACUGUAGAAAAUUUCAGAAAAUGUGGGAUUUUAUAAAAGAGCAUAAUUGCCUCCAAUGCUAAUAUGCACUCCUUUUACAAUAUGACUUUGCUGCUCUUCCACUCUCUACCCCUUGAAUCUGGUGACUUGCUUUGGCCAGUGAACAUCUGCAAAUGUGAUGUAAACAGAGGUUUCAUAAGCACUUGCACACUGGGGCUUGCCCUUUCUCUUGUUGCUGGGAACCUGAGUCCACAAUGUAAACAAGUCCAAGCUAGCCUCCUGGAGGGUGAGAUCAUGUCCAGAGAGGCUCUAGCCAUCCUUGCUAUCCCAGAUAUACCAGCUGAGGCCGCUGACAUGUGAGUGAGGCCACUCCAGACCAUCUGUCCCUAGCUGAGUCAGCCUAGACUAGAAGAACCAUCCACCCAAUCCACAGACUUAUGAGAAAUAAUCAGUGUUUUUUGUUUUAAACCACUAUGUUUUGGUUUGUUAUGCAGCAGAAGCUAACUGAUACAGAGAGGAUAAUGCAAUUUAGUAAGAUCCUAAAUUGGCUAGACCUCUGAGGAAGAGGUGGCAGUCAGGGAAGGGGGAACAUUCCUGGCAGAAGAGACAGAAUCAGCAAAAGCACAGAGGCAUGAAACAGCAUGGCACACGUGGACACCUCAGUGUUCUGGUUUCACUGAAACACAGGGAUAGAGUUGGGAAGUGACGGAAAACACAGCCAAAGGACUAGGUAGGGGCUAGAUCAGAAAGAGCCUUCCAUACUGGGUUACAGAGUUUCCAUUUAUCCUGAGGUCUAUGGGGAAACCAUGGAAAGCUUUUAAGCAGUAAAGAGACAUGAUUAGAUUUGUAUUCUUAAAAAAUAUCAUAGCUAUCAUUAGUGGAGCGUUUCCCGUGUUCCAGGUACUUUAAUAUGCAUGGCCAAAAGAGUGCUCUGGCUGCAGGGUGGAGAGGGAUUAGAGGCAGUCAGGAGGUACAGGCGGACCAGCCAGGAGCUACCAGGCAUUCGAGUGAGAGUGGGUGAAAGCCUGAACCAAGGCAGUGGCCCUGGGGAUGGGCGAGGUAUUCAGGAGGCAGGACUGCCUAGUGACUGCAUCGGGGGAGUCUGGAAGGACUCUUGAGGGUCUGGCUUAGGUGACUGUGGAGAAUUUUGGAAUCAGUGGCAUUGAGGAUUCUCAGUAUCCUAUAAUCCCAGCUCCCCAAAGUUGAAGGGGGCUUAGAGACUAUCCAGUCUCAUUCUCUCUAUGUCACUUACCACUGAUAAUUCCCAAGCUGAUUUUAGGUAGUCUAAGGACAUACCAUUUUUUUUUUAUGUUUGGGAAAUUAUUUUUAUUGUAUUAGGAACUACUAGCAUGUAAGACCCAUGAUUUCAUAGAUAUUAUAGCUUAGCAAAAAGCUAAAGAAGUUACUUCAAUUUAAAAAGCAAGUUGAUAAAAAGAAAAACAUUAUCAGUAAUAGCGCGGGUGUACACGGAUAUGGCUGAAAUUAGGCAUGAGUGAAGUUCAGGGCACCCAGCAUCACCUGGAGCGCAAAUCACAGGAUCCCAGAUGGUGAAUGCCCAUGUUUUCAAGUGGCCAGGUGGGACCCACCUGCACAGAGCCUGGCUGUCCAGUCACAUCUGGCCCAUUGGCCCUUGGGAGCUGACAGGGACAUGUCUGUGUUCGAGUCACCUUCAAAGCCAGAUCCAGGUUAAGGAUUAGAUGGUGGCUGUAAGAAGGUAGAGAAAAUGAACAUGCCUGUUCCCCAGAGGCCUUCAGGAGCCUCUGGCUCAGAGAGGUGAACUUGUCCUCACCCGCCUGCCUGUCUGCCUGCCCUCUGUGCAGGUCUCUGCAUUGUGCUCAGAAAAGACUCCUGCGCGCAGGCUGAAACUUCGCGUGUGGAUGCAGGGACUUUGUCUUGGGAGGCACUGUAAUGGAUGGCACCCAUCGUACCCCUGGGAGCCCAGAACCACUCACUGUGCAGGUAAAGGGCAGCUCUGGGCACCGUGAGGGUGCAGCCUGUGGCUUGAUGGAGGAGAGGAUUAGCGCUGCAGCCCAGCAGCCCGCCCCAGCCAUCGGGCGGUGCAUACCCGCCUGGACACGGCCUUUCCUGAUGGGCAGGGCCUCCCUUUGUGUGAUUCCUCAGCACAAUGUGUGUAAUCCUGCCGACCUGCCCAGCAGAGACGGGCGGGCAAGAGCGCGCUUGGCUUCCUGUCUUGUUGAAUGGCUUGAAUGGGCGCUGGGCCCACUCUUAAUCCCCCAGCGGCUGACUGUCCCGGCAGCAGGGCAGAGGAGGAAGGAGGGGAAGACAGCAGCUCUCCUGUCUUCUCUCCAGGCAGGAGGCUGGUUGCACCCUACCCAGCACUGUUCCACUUACGUUUGAAGGGCAGAUUUGAGACCAGCCAUGGGGUUGCUUGCCGGUGCCCUCUUGGAACCCUCUGCCCUUCUCCCAGCACCGUCCUUGGCCAGAGUUGGGUGAACUAGUAUUACAAGCAGGGAGCUAAUGGUAGAGGAGAAGAGCUUCAAGAUCCCAGCACAUCAGAACUGGAAGCAGCCUUAGGGAUUCCACUUCCCCCUCUCUUUUUGCAGUUGGGGAAACUGAGGCCCAUACAGGUCAGGAACAUGUUUAAGGUCACAUGAAUAAGUGACAGUAACUGACUUCAGUCAGGUGGCCUUUCCAUUGGACAGCAGCUGUUUCCCAAAUUGCUUCCUGGAGCAUUCCCAACUACUGGGAGACAUUUAAUGCUCCUGACAAAGAGUUAUACGGUCAGAUGCGCUGGGAGAUGCUGCAUGUGAACAAAGCACAUCUAGGAGCAGAGGCCAUGACAGGUCCUGCAGCCUGUGAACUUGGUCGACGUUAAUGCCACCCUUUCCAAAUGUACUUGGCAGUGCAGUUCUUUUUUCAUGUGGCACCUUUUCUCACACAGCAGUAGCACUUAACUCUAAAGGACACCAUCCGGAAAUUCUGCACUAGACUGUGCUAUAGACUUUCUAGAAGUGAUGAUGAAGAUGGUGAGGACACUUCUAUAUAAACUCUCUGUGGAGUUUAACCCACGUGAGAGCCUGUACCAUGGGAGGAAUCUCCUUUUAGACUCAGAGUCACCCGGUGUUUAUUGAGCAUCUCUUAUUACCAGGUGCCUUCCACCUCGGUUAUCUCUGCUGAGCCUCCCAAUAGCACUGUUGGAAAGGUAAUGGAACCUUGACUUUACAAUCGUGGAAACUGAGGCACAUGAAACUGAGUAACUCGCUUAAGGUCACACAGCCAACAGUCGGCUAAAGCAGGUUUUAAGCCGAGGUCCACCUGCCUUCAAUCCAAUGCUCCUGUUCUUCUGCCCUGCUCCCCUCUCCUCUUUCCCUACAGUCUGAUGAUGAGAAGCAAAUGCAUCAAACUGGAAAUAAAAGGAAGAAAGCCUGGGUUCAUAUGCUGUUCCACUCCUGAUGCAUUGUGUGACCUUGGACAGACCUUGUGCCCCCAGGUCUCAGCUCCUCCCCCUGCCAUGGGUGGGUUAGACGCGGAGCCCAGUCCCUGUGACUGUCUCCUGCUCCGGCAUUCCAUGACCCACUCCACGACUCUAGUUCUCAGGCCCAGGCAUAGGUCAUCCUAGGGAGAGGGUCAGUCCUGGAACGGGGUGACAUGAGGCUGGGUUCAUGUGUGGCAUCAGGACAGACCAGCCACCUGCCUGAGAAGGCAGAGCGUGUGCCGACUCACUCCUGACACCUUGUCAGAGCCAUGGGAAACUGUCACCCAGGGCUCAGGGAUGGAGUCAGCCCUGCAUGGUACUGGUAGCAUGACCUGUGAUGCCCUCACACAUAAUGACCUCCUUAAUGGGUGGUGGAGAAACUUGCAGGACUGGUGAGGGUGGAGCCGGGAAAGGGGCAGGCAGGCAUUGUGGCAUUCUAGACCUGACUUGAAUUUACUUUUUAUAGUCUGUAUCUGUCAUUAUUUAGACAAUCGGUCCACCCUCUUUUUUUCAAAGAAGAUGAUUUUCUUAGUUUGGGUGAGUUAAAAGGAGGCUCUAAGACAAAGAUUCAAGUGCAAGUGGUUUAUUUGGGAGGGGUUCCCAGGAAAUGCUGCCAGGGAGCCUGGAAGUAAAGCAGGGAAGGGGAAGAGCACGGUGAAUGGCACAUUAUCAAGCAAGUGGCCCCUGUUAGUAACUGGAGCUUGAUUAUGCUGGGGGCUCUGGGAACCAGUGUGUACAGCCUUGGCAUUGACCCACCUGAGGGGCCAGGCAGCUGGGGUAUGUAUCCCCCAACUCGUGUCAGUCACCAGUGGAAAACUGCGGCCAGGGAGGGGACUCUCAAUUCCCUAGCAUGUCUGGCCUGUGCUGGGAAUCACCAGCAGGUAGAGCCCCCAGGCAGAGCGGCAGGGGCUGAGCGCAUGUGGGUGAGCUACCAAAGUGUAUGCUACAGAGGGCUGGUGAGCCAGAAGCUGAAACUCCAAAACCUGAGAAGGGGUCUAAGUGCCUCCACAAUUUGCUGGAAGGGAAGGAAGGCUGAGUAAGUCACCUGCCCUCUUGGAGCUUCAGUCUUCUGAUCCAGCAGAUGGGAAUGGAACCCCUGCCCUGCCUAUCACACACAGGACCAAAUCAUAAAUUGUAAAAAGAUGAUGAGUAUAUUCACCUUGCUCCCAUCUGUUCCUCACCAUCUGCCUGUCCCUAAUACCACACACCACUUCUCAGUCACUUCAGCUAGGAUUGUGAACAUUUUGGUCAUUCCUACCCUUCCUGGCCAAGGAAGGAUCCCCCUUAGAAUGGGAAAGGACUUUAGAUCUAGAAAUUAAGAUUUUUUAAGCUCAAGAGGAAGCGGAAUGAUAUGGGCUUGGGAAUCAGGAGGCCAGGAAUAUUCCUUUAUUGAGGACCUACCAUAUCCACAGGCUGAGGGUGCUUGAUGAUGACACAGUUCCCCAAGGAGCUCUGUGUCCUUGGAUAGGCAGGCCGCUUGUCCUCUUGUGCCUUCAGUCUCCGCACCUGUGAAAUGGGCCAGUCUCCCCACCUGUGAAAUGGGGUCCCUUCUAGUGCUAUCAUUUUUUACUUUAAGUACAGAACUCCCAGUCUCCUUGAGAUCUGCAGCCCGGGAUCAGUGGCAGAACCAGAGGCAAGGGUCCCACUGUCUGGAGAUGAGUGAGUAGAGGCAGGGAAAGAUUCACUCUGCCCUCCAGGGAGACUGCCAUCAUGCCUGGGCUCCAUCUGCUGUGAGCACUGCAUAAGCUCUGCAAACAGCAGCUGAAGAUGGUGGAUUUGGGCAGCAUUAAGCUGUAUUAAGUUGAGCUGUUUCUACAAAGAGUACAUUUUAGGAUAAACAUGGCACCAGAGACACGCUAAGAGGAUGUAGCACUUGUAAGAAGUGGCUUCAUGCCAUCCCCAGCAGCUGGUGCAGAGAACGGCUCGCCAACUCCACCCACACGUUGGUGUCUCUAAGGAGAAAAUUGCACAGCACCCCCUUCCUCUGUUUAUUCCAGGAAGAAACACCCCUUGAGGCCUUAGGCACAUGACCCAAGCUGAGCCAAUCAGAGGGCUCCAACCUCCUGGCUACUGUGAUUGGUCCAAGGAUGAUCAUGUGACCCAAACCAGGCCAACUGGAGUCCUUUCUUGGGGUUUCUUUUAGCUGGUGGGAAAGAAUCCUCUCCUGAUGUGAUGGAGAGCUUGUGGAAGACAAAUCCACACCCAUGGAGAAGCCUGUCUGUGGCAGGAUGAAAUGAAGCCAACAGUUAGAGAUGAGAAGCUGAGAAGAAAGUGUCUUGGUGUCCGAGUCCCUGGUACCAGACCUCCCUGAGGCCAGCUCCACCCUUGCCCUUCUUGGUUACUUAAAACAAUAAAAUGCCUUCUUUGCUUAAGCUUUCUUUGUUAAGAAAUAAAACGACUUGAGUUUUAUUUCUCUCACACCAAGGCAAGAGAAUCUGAAAUGAGACCAACAUCUUCCAUUUAUUGAGCUUACUAUGUGCUGGGAGCUUUCCACUGCCUCACCUUAUGGAAUCCUGCACACAGCCAUGUGGGCCAUGAUUAUCAUGCCCAUUUUACAGAUGAGGAAGCUGAGAUGCAGAGGGAUGAGGGACUUAUGUAAAGUCAAUCAACUGUUAGUAAGUGACCAAGCAGGGAUUCAAACCCAGGUUUGGCUAACACCAAAAGCCACGUGCUUAGCCCUUUUACCACAGUGCUCACUCACAGCCUGAAGCCUCACCAGUUUUCACCCUCUGGGCAGCCGCCUUCAGAACAGACAGCUUCCAUGACUUGAUCUUUUGUGUCUUGGCUUCUUGUGUUGUGAUUGAAUUGCAAAUAAAAUUACCGUCAUAAGUCAUUUUUCAAUAAUGAGGUCUUAGGAUGGCUCUUGGCAGCAUAGCAGGUUAGAGUCAGUCUCCAUGUUUGAUUUCUCCUCACACUUUCACCAAGCUGAGCAAAUGCUUUUUAUCAACAUCCCUGGGAGUGUGACAUUUCUGAUCCUAUCAAAUCCUAGCCUUAAGAACUGCAACCAAUGUUCUCUCCAAAGGCUUAGAGAGAUGAAGUGACUUGCCUAGGUCAUCCAGCUUGUCAGGGCAGAGCAGAAAUUGGAGCCCAACUCUCCAUUUAGUUUAUUCCUUUUCCAAUAAAUUUUUGAGUCCUUACAGCCCUCAGGGUUUCAAACCCUCUGCCACAAGACAUUGGUGUCCAGGCACAGAUGACGGUGAUAUUGAUGCUAUCACUGGUAGAGGGUGGAGUAGAAAGCCCCACCUUUUUGCCUUUAACCAGUGAGAGUUUGAGUUUCCCUCAUUAAAACCUCCCAUGGGACCUUAGACAAAGCUGUGGGCAGGGAGUUGGGGCAGAGUACCUGUCUUCCCUCCAAAAACAGAGGGUUCUCUCAAAGCCAGUGUAGAAUGGAGGGAACACAGGAGAGCUCUGGGUUAGCCUUGGCACUGGCAAUGAAUCUCUGAGUGACCUUGAAUAUGUCCAUCAAAAAUAGCCACUCUUAUGGAACAGUUUUGAAUGAUAGCUAGAUACUCAUAGCUAUCCAGUGAAAUCCCACCUGACAGAUGGGGAAUCUGAGGCACAAGGCAGUUAAUAACACGUCCGAGGCAACGUGACACAAUUAGCAAGUGGCAGAACUGGGAUUAGAAGCCAGGCAGUCUGAUUCCAGAGUCCAUUCUGUUAACCACUUCACUGUAUCAGCUUCCUUUUGAAUUGUGAGUCAGGGUAUUCUCUGCAAUCAAACCAUUCCAGAUUUGGCAGGAGAAGGGCACACUGGAUAGUGUGAUUCUGAGGUUGAAAUCACCAGUUUUGUAUUAAGAUAAAACUAGAGUAAAUUUAUCUAGUCUUCUUUAAAGGCAGCUCACAUGGCUUCUUUUAUUAUUUGAGAAAAAGGAAAAAAGUCCCAUUCUCUGCCAUUCACGUGGACGAGCGUUAUCUCAGCAGGGUCUUUCCCAGUUCUUUACAGUUUGCGAAGUUAACUGCAAUGUCUCUGAGCUCAAAGGAUCCUCUGGCAAGGCAAAGAGAAUUGUCUCCCAUUUUACUGCUGAGAAAACUGGGACCAGAGUGGGGAAAAAAAUUUGCCACCUGUGUGUGCAUGCGUGCAUGUUUGUGUGUGCACGUGUAUGUGCGUGUAUGCGUUUGUUUCUGCGCGCAGAUCCGUGGAUGCUCCCGCAGACCUGGAUCCCAGCUGUGAGAGGAACUCACAGUUGUGAUGCUUGGAGGGGAGCGUUCCAGCUCACUGCCCGUGUAUGGAGUCACUCAGACUUAGCUAAGUACACAGCAGUCAGGAGCCUGAGCUGCAGCAGCUGAAAUCAGUGGGCAGCACAAAAAUGUAGGUGUAGCUCCCUCUCCACUCCUUCCUUCUCCCCCACCUCCCACGGGGUGGAACUGCCUGGAACAGGCCUGGCCCAGCCUAUGGGUCUGCACACGCAGCAUCCAGGAACAACUGCAGGGCAGCUCUGGGGCACAUGUGGAAACACGCACCCUGAUAUCCAUGGAUGUGUACACACAUGGAUUUCUAGAAGGAAUACUCAGGAAAGGUCUGGGGCUCUGAGUUCUGGUCUGGCUCAGCCUCUGACUCUCUGGUGACCUCAGAGCCUUGACUCUCCAUCUGUAUAAUGGGCAUGAUGAUGUCUGCCUCCCAGGGUUGUUACAAGUAUCCAGAAAAAGAUGGCAGGGUCCCAGAACUCUGGAUCUGCAGGAGCCCUGGGAGGCAAUUAGCCUAAUGCUCACAUUUCACAGACAGAGCUGCUGAGGCCCAGAGAGGGACACAGAGCAAGUCAAGCACAGAUUGGCUAGAACACAGGCCUCUGGACUCCCAGGACUCACACACCAAGAGUGGCCCUGAAAAGAGCAAAGUGCUGUUCAAGGCGAGUUCUUGCUCUUGCAUCUGAACAUCCACGUGGAGGUGAUUUUGAGACCAAAGUGCUUUGUAAACAGUAUUUAUUAACACAAAUUCACGUGUACUGUGCCAAGGUAGGGGGGGAAGGGGUGCCCUCUUUCCUUCUGAAAUAUUAGCUCAGAUAGGCAUACAAAAGACUUUGUGAAUCUGUUUGCUUAACAUAUUUGAUUAGCUUUCUGCCUACAAGUUCAUACUAAGCUCUUACAUAUCUGCUGGGCUCUUUAUUGACAGUGUAUCAAUUCAGCUUUCCCUAAAAGAUAAGCUCCAAGAUAGAAGGAGAGGCAAGGCAGCCUGGUUUUAGGGCCACCAGGAGUGUUUGCCCAAGUCCCUGACCCUGCGCUUACCCAUCUGUAGACUGCCAGGCUUGCAUUCAUCUUGGCCCCUGCCUGCCCUGGGCCCUGGGACCCGCCCCAAACUCCGCUUCCUCCCCUGGACUCUCACUUUGCCCUCUUACUGCAGCUCUCCAUACACACGCCUGCCUGUCUGUCAGCUUGGGUGCUCCUCCGGGCAGGAACUGAAACUCCAGUGCCCCUCACAGGACCCAGCCCACAGUCGCUGCUCAGGAAAUGGGACAGCUCCCAGGUGAACUUGGAGUUCAGGCAUGCAGGUCACAAGAGGAAGGAAGAACCUAAAGACAGUAGGUGAAGCAUUGGGAAAGCCAGCAUUCCUUUCUCCCUCGACUCCUGCUACCCAAACUGUGUAACAUUCCAGCCAGUGUGACAGGACUUCCUGGUUGAUACAGAGUCUCCUGCUAAUCAUCACAUCUGUUUAUUCUGCACAUACCAUGUGCCAGGCACUUCAUAUAUGUUACUUCUAAUCCUAGUCAGCUCUAAUCCCAUUUUCAAGAUUGGGACCCAAAGCUCAGAAACCUCCAUUUAUUUGCUUCAAGGAGAGGAGUUAGAAUCUGACCUCAGGUCUGUCUGAUUCCCAAGGCCAUGCUUAUUUUAUGACAACAUAGGCCCCUUCCUGAACUCUGAUACUCCCAGGAGACUUGGGACUAAGGGAUUUCCUUCUGCAGGGCUUUCUUCUUAUUGUAGAGGUAGGGAGGACAGGCUCUUCCUGGACCCUGCCUCCUUCAUCCUCUGACCUUAGUUUUCCUACGGGUACAGUGAGGAAAGGGACCAGAUCACCCAAACUUAUUGGUAGUUCUGACAGAUCAUCCACAUUCUUUGCUUGGGCUUUUAGGAGCAAAGAUGAGGGGACAGUGGGGCAAGGGGAGGACCCAGUUGUAACUGCUGUUCUCAGAAGGGGACAGGGAAGGACCCAGGCUGCCUGGGAUGGUGAUAAUUCAUCUCACUGGUCCAUAGCCCAUGGAAACAUGGAAUCCAGGAAGGUUUUCACAUCUGAUGAGGAGUAGAAUCACCUGGGGAUAUUUGCUAAUAUGCAGAUUCCUGGGUCCAGCUCCUGGAGGACCAGGGUGAUAGGUUUGGGGCAGGGAUAGGAUUGUGCAUUUUUUUUUUCUGAUCAUUUCUGUUUCUUUUUUUAAAAAUUUUAUUGAAGUAUAGUUAUUUACAAUGUGGCAUUAAUUUUUGCUGUACAGCAAAGUGACUCAGUUAUACAUAUAUAUAUUCUUUUACAUAUUCCUUUCCAUUUUGGUUUAUCACAGAAUAUUGAAUAUAGCUCCCUGUGCUACACAGUAAGACCUUGUUUAUCCAUCCUAUAUAUACUAGUUUGCAUCUGCUGAUCCCAAACUCCCAAUCCUUCCCUCCCCCACCCCCUGCCCCCUUGGCAAUCACAAGUCUGUUCUCUAUGUCUGUGAGUCUGUUUCUGUUUCAUAGAUAUGUUCCUUUGUGUCGUAUUUUAGAUUCCACAUAUGAGUGAUAUUAUAUGGCAUUUGUCUUUCUCUUUCUGACUCACUUUGCUUAGUAUGAUCAUCUCUAAGUGCAUCCAUAUAGCUGCAAAUGGCAUUAUUUCAUUCUUUUUAUGGCUGAGUAAUAUUCCAUUGUGUAUAUAUAUAUAUAUAUAUAUAUAUAUAUAUAUAUAUAUAUAUAUAUCACAUCUUUAUCCAUUCCUCUGUCGAUGGAUAUUUAGGUUGUUUCCGUGUCUUGGCUAUUGUAAAUAGUGCUGCUAUGAACAUAGGGAUGCAUGUAUCUUUUCCAAUUACAGUUUUGUCCAGAUAUAUGGCCAGGAUUGAAAUUGCUGGAUCAUAUGGCAACUCUAUUUUUAGUUUUUUGAGAAACUUCCAUGCUGUUUUCGAUAAUGGCUGCACCAAUUUACAUUCCCACCAACAGUGGAGGAAGGUUCCCUUUUCGCCACACCCUCUCCAAUAUUUAUUAUUUGUAGACUUUUUAAUGAUGGCCAUUCUGACUGGUGUGAGGUGGUACCUCAUUAUAGUUUUGAUUUGCAUUCAUCUAAUAAUUAGCAAUGUUGAGCAUCUUUUCAUGUACCUAUUGGCCAUCUGUAUGUCUUCUUUGGAAAAAUGUCUAUUUAGGUCUUCUGCCCAUCUUUCAAUUGGGUUGUUUGUUUUUUUGUUAUUGAGUUGUAAGAGCUGUUUGUAUAUUUUGGAAGUUAAGCCCUUGUCUGUUGCGUCAUUUGCAAAUACUUUCUCCCAGUUCGUAGGUUGUCUUUUUGUUUUGUUUAUGGUUUCUUUUGCUCUUCAGAAGCUUGUAAGUUUGAUUAGGUCCCAUUUGUUUAUUUUUGCUUUUCUUUCUAUUGCCUUGGAGACUGACCUAAGAAAACAUUCAUAUAUAUAAAAAAAGAAAACAUUGGUAUGAUUUAUGUCAGAAUGUUUUGCCUAUGUUCUCUUCUAGGAGUUUUAUGGUGUCACGUCUUAUAUUUAAGUCUUUAAGCCAUUUUGAGUUUAUUUUUGUGUAUGGUGUGAGGGUAUGUUCUAAUAACUUCAUUGAUUUACAUGUGGCUAUCCAACUUAUCCAACACUACUUGCUGAAGAGACUGUCUUUUCCCCAUUGUAUAUUGCCUCCUUUGUCGAAGAUUAAUUGUCCAUUAUUUUGGGGUUCUUUAUUCUGUUCCAUUGGUCCAUAUGUUUGUUUUGUGCCAAUACCUUCUUGUUUUGAUUACUAUAGCUUUGUGGUAUUGUCUGAAGUCUGGGAGGGUUAUGCCUCCUGCUUUGUUCAUUUUCCACAGGAUUGCUUUGACAAUUCUGGGUCUUUUGUGGUUCCAUAUAACUUUUAGGAUUAUUUGUUCUAGUUUUGUGAAAAUGUCAUGGGUAAUUUGAUAGGAAUUGCAUUAAAUCUGUAGAUUGCCUUGGGUAGUAUGGCCAUUUUAACAAUAUUAAUUCUUACAAUCCAAGAGCAUGGGAUACAGGAUUGUGCAUUUCUGACAAGCACUCCAGAUGAUAUUCAUAGCAGCACUAUUUUUAAUAGCCAGACAUUGGCCAACCUAAGUGUCUUUCAAUAGGAGAGUGGAUAAAUUGUAAUGUAUUUGUACAAUGGACUACUAUGCUUCAGUGAAAAUGAAAUAAACCAUUGCUACACUCAAAAACAUGAUGACUCUUACAGACGUAAUAUAGAGUGAAAGAAACUAGACACAAAAGAAUACAUAUUGUAUGAUUCAACUUAUAAGGAUUUUUUUUUUUUUUUUUGCGUUACGCGGGCCUCUCACUGUUGUGGCCUCUCCCGUUUUGGAGCACAGGCUCCGGACGCGCAGGCUCAGUGGCCAUGGCUCACGGGCCCAGCCGCUCCGCGGCAUGUGGGAUCUUCCCGGACCGGGGCACGAACCCGCGUCCCCUGCAUCGGCAGGCGGACUGUCAACCACUGCGCCACCAGGGAAGCCCUAUAAGGAUUUUUAAAACUUAGAAACGAAAAAACUAAUCAGGAUAAUAUCUCUCAGGGGUAUUGUGUGUGUGUGUGUGUGCGUGUGUGUAUCUGGCUUUUUUAAAACUGAGGUAUAGUUGAUUUACAAUAUUAGUUUCAGGUGUACAACAUAGUGAUUCAAACUUUUUAUAGACUAUACUCCUUUUAAAAUAAUUAUAAAAUAUUGGCUAUAUUCCCUGUGCUAUACAAUGUAUCCUUGUAGCUUAUUUAUUUUAUACAUAGUAGUUUGUAUCUCUUAAUCCCCUCCCCCUAUUUUACCCCUCCCCCUUCCCUCUCCCCAUUGGUAAACGCUAGUUCUCUAUGUCUGUGAGUCUGUUUCUGUUUUGUUACAUUCAUUCAUUUGUUUUAUUUUUUAGAUCCUACAUAUAAUUGAUAACAUACAUUAUUUUUCUUUCUUUGUCUGACUUAUUUCACUAAACAUAAUACUCUCCAGGUCCAUCAAUGUUGUUGCAAAUGGCAAAAUUUCAUUUUUUUUUAUGGCUGAGUAGUAAUCCAUUAUAUAUAUAUAUAUAUAUAUAUAUAUAUAUAUAUGUAUUUCAAUAGGAGAUUGAUAUAUGUGUGUGUGUGUGUGUAUAUACAUACAUAUAUAUAUAUAUUUACACCAAGUAUGAUUAAUUUUGUUUGUAUCUAACCUAAAAACAAGAUUCUGUGAACUGAUCCUUAAGCAGCCAGGUAAAUCAGGAAUUUUAGAACAGCUCUUUAAGAGAGGAUAAAGCCAAAUGAAAGAAAACACCUCAAUCCUAGAUAUCUAAAUACAAAAGAGAAAAUAUCAAGAAGCAAAAAGAAUCGUAUAUAUUUAUAUAUAUAUUACAUCUUCCUUAUCCAUUCAUCUGUUGAUGGGCACUUAGGUUGCUUCCAUGUCGUGGCUAUUGUAAAUCAUGCUGCUGCUGCUGCUGCUGCUGCUGUGAACAAUGGGGUGCAUGUAUCUUUUCAAAUUAGUGUUUUCACUUUCUUUGGAUAUAUACCCAGGAGUAGAAUUGCUGGAUCAUAUGGUAGUUCUGUUUUUAGUUUUUUGAGGAACUCUGAGGGGUAUUGACUCGGAGGGGGCAAGAAGAAGUCUUCUGUGGUCUAGGUAAUUUUCUUUAUGUUAAUCCACAUGACAUAGACAUUAUAUAUGUUUGUGAAAAUUCAUCUAUGCACUUUACUGAGUGUCUAUUUUACGUCAAAAUGUUUUUCGUUAAACUUAUUUAUUUAUUUACUUCUGGCUGCAUUGGAUCUUUGUUGCUGCACACAGGCUUUCUCUAGUUGCAGUGAGUGGGGGCUACUCUUCGUUGCAGUGCUCGGGCUUCUCAUUGCAGUGGCUUCUCUUCUUGCGGAUCACAGGCUCUAGGCACGUGGGCUUCAGUAGUUAUGGCACGUGGGCUCAGUAUGGGCAGCUCAC